rnacentral:tRNA from 1 species
GGUUUGAAUCCUUUCGUUCCCG